UACAGAGGGUGCGAGCGUUAAUCGGAAUUACUGGGCGUAAAGCGCACGUAGGUGGCGACGUAAGUCGGGUGUGAAAGCCCCGGGCUCAACCUGGGAAUUGCAUUCGAGACUGCAUUGCUGGAGUACGGAAGAGGAGGGCGGAAUUCCCGGUGUAGCGGUGAAAUGCGUAGAUAUCGGGAGGAACAUCAGUGGCGAAGGCGGGCCUCUGGUCCGGUACUGACGCUCAAGUGCGAAAGGGUGGGGAGGAAACAGG
rnacentral:rRNA from 1 species